CCUGAAAUACACAGAGGGUCCAACACCAGUUUUAAAAAUACAUUAACGAGGUAUUCCCAGCUCUUCAAUUAAUAACGGUGACUGGCUGAUUCAUGAUUUUCAAACAUUCACCCAAAUUUUUAAAAAAGAAGAAAAAGCUAAUACCAGCAAAAUCUAUCAGUGCUUUGUUCCCCAGGUUAACAAUUUGAGAGAAACUGCAAAGGACUUCAGGACUCCUCGCUUCACCGCACCAUGCACUGCCUCUAGUCAGCAUGAGGUCAGCAAAACGAAUCAAUGAAACAUGAAGACUCCCAGCUGAAAUGGGCCCUCUUGUUUAUGUCUAACCACUAAUGCACAGGAUGAGAAUGCAGCACUCAACAAGAACUGGGACAAUCGAAGAGCAAGUUUUUAUGGGGACCCUGUUGCUGCUUUAGAUUCUGAUGUAACUGAAGAGGAAAAGAGACCCUUCAAUGAAUCCCAGAAAUUGCUAAUCCUCUAUCUGCAUGAAAAAAGCCAGAGAGUGAACACAGUAUCUUACAGAGUGAA